UGGCCUCCAGGAUCACUCAGUGUUCUUCAGAACCUCCCCAUGGCCUCCAGGAUCACUCAGUGUUCUUCAGAACCUACCCAUGGCCUCCAGGAUCACUCAGUGUUCUUCAGAACCUACCCAUGGUCUCCAGAACCUCCCCAUGGCCUCCAAAACCUGCCCAUGGCCUCCAGGAUCACCCAACGUUCUCCAGAACCUGCCCAUGGCCUCCAGAACCUCCCCAUGGCCUCCAGAACCUGCCCAUGGCCUUCAGAACAUCCCCAUGGCCUCCAGGAUCACCCAAUGUUCUUCAGAACCUUCCCAUGAUCUCCAGGACACCCCGGGGACCUGCAGGAACCUCCUGGGGCCUCCAGGAUCACCCAGUGUUCUCCACAACUUUCCCAAACGCCCUCCAGAACCUUCUCAAGUUCUCCAGAACCUUCCCCAGCCCGUCCUCGUGUCCCUCCCCGGUUGGGUUGGUGGGGUCGGGGCGGGUUUGGGGUCUCAGAGCCCCCCAAUAAAGCCCAGAAUGGCCCAAAAUGGCCCAAAAUGGCCCGGAUUUGGGAUUGGGGAAUUGGGACUGGGGAUUUGGGAUUGGGAAUUUGGGAUCCCAGGAGUUUGGGAUUGGGAAUUUGGGAUUGGGGAAUUUGGGAUCGGGGAUUUGGGAUCUGGGAAUUUGGGAUCCCAAGAGUUUGGGAUUGGGGAAUUGGGAUUGGGGAAUUUGGGAUUGGGAAUUUGGGAUCCCAGGAGUUUGGGAUUGGGGAUUUGGGAUUGGGGAAUUUUGGGUUUCAGGAGUUUGGGAUCAAAGAGUUUGGGAAUUGAGGAAUUUGGGGUCCAGGAAUUUUGGGAUUGGGGAUUUGGGAUUGGGGAAUUUGGGAUUGGGGAGUUUGGGAUUGGGGAAUUUGGUGUCCAGGAAUUUUGGGGUUCAGGAGUUUGGGAUCAAAAAGUUUGGAAAUUGGGGAAUUUGGGAUCUGGGAAUUUGGGAUCCCAAGAGUUUUGGGGUCCAGGAGUUCGUUUGGGAUUUUGCAGCAUUUUUUUUUUGGGGAUUUUGGGGGAAGCCGGAAUUCCCAGGGGUCAGAAAUCCCACCCUCAUUUUCCCUCCCCAAAAUUCCCCAAAAUUCUCCAAAAUUUCCAGAAUUAA
rnacentral:lncRNA from 1 species